UACGUAGGUGGCAAGCGUUGUCCGGAUUUACUGGGCGUAAAGAGCGCGCAGGCGGUCGUUCAAGUCGCGUGUGAAAGCCCCCGGCUCAACUGGGGAGGGUCACGCGAUACUGAUCGACUCGAAGGCAGGAGAGGGUAGUGGAAUUCCCGGUGUAGUGGUGAAAUGCGUAGAUAUCGGGAGGAACACCGGUGGCGAAGGCGGCAUCCUGGACCGAGAUUGACACUGAUGAGCGAAAGCUAGGGGAGCAAACGGG
rnacentral:rRNA from 1 species